rnacentral:pre_miRNA from 1 species
UUGGGUGAAAUCCAUGUGGAUACCAUACUUUGAAAAUAGAUCCCACAUAAAGUGGUGAGACUCACAUGGAUUUCAUCAAA